ACCGCAUACGUCGUACGGGAGAAAGCAGGGGCCCUUCGGGCCUUGCGCUAUCAGAUGAGCAUAGGUCGGAUUAGCUAGUUGGUGAGGUAAUGGCUCACCAAGGCUCCGAUCCGUAACUGGUAUGAGAGGACGAUCAGUCACACUGGAACUGAGACACGGUCCAGACUCCUCCGGGAGGCAGCAGUGGGGAAUAUUGGACAAUGGGCGAAAGCGUGAUCCAUCCAGGGGGCGUGUGUGAAGAAGGUCUUCGGAUUG
rnacentral:rRNA from 1 species